rnacentral:rRNA from 1 species
UACGGAGGGGACUAGCGUUGUUCGGAAUUACUGGGCGUAAAGCGCACGUAGGCGGAUUUGUAAGUCAGGGGGUGAAAUCCCGAGGCUCAACCUCGGAACUGCCUUUGAUACUGCAAAUCUCGAGUCCGGAAGAGGUGAGUGGAAUUCCUAGUGUAGAGGUGAAAAUUCGUAGAUAUUAGGAAGAACACCAGUGGCGAAGGCGGCUCACUGGUCCGGUACUGACGCUGAGGUGCGAAAGCGUGGGGAGCAAACAGGAUUAGAAACCCGGG